CAGCCGCAGAAAUCUGUGCUAAGGUAGCAUAAUCAUUUGUCUUCCAAUUAAAGACCAGAAUGAAAGGUCAAACGAAUAAAAAAUUUAAACAAUAUAAAACUAUAAAAUUAUACUUUAUGUAAAAAUACAUAGAUAAUAUAAAAAGACGACAAGACCCUGUUGAACUUAACUAAAGUUAAGCUGGGACAGCUUUAUUAUAACAAUUCUAAAUUAUUAAUUUGAAAACUAACCUUUAAAGAAAAGAAAAAGUUACCACAGGGAUAACAGCGCAAUUUAUUUCAAAAGCUCCCAUACAAAAAUAAGAUUACGACCUCGAUGUUGAAUUAAUUAAUCAAAUAAAUGCAAAAUUUUAUAAGAAUGUCUGUUCGACCUUUAAAAAAUUACAUGAUCUG
rnacentral:rRNA from 1 species